rnacentral:rRNA from 1 species
CCUACGGGUGGCAGCAGUGGGGAAUAUUGGACAAUGGGGGGAACCCUGAUCCAGUCAUGCCGCGUGUGUGAAGAAGGCCCUCGGGUUGUAAAGCACUUUCAGUGAGGAAGAACGCCUGGUGGUUAAUACCCAUCAGGAAAGACAUCACUCACAGAAGAAGCACCGGCUAACUCCGUGCCAGCAGCCGCGGUAAUACGGAGGGUGCGAGCGUUAAUCGGAAUUACUGGGCGUAAAGCGCGCGUAGGUGGCUUGAUAAGCCGGUUGUGAAAGCCCCGGGCUCAACCUGGGAACGGCAUCCGGAACUGUCAAGCUAGAGUGCAGGAGAGGAAGGUAGAAUUCCCGGUGUAGCGGUGAAAUGCGUAGAGAUCGGGAGGAAUACCAGUGGCGAAGGCGGCCUUCUGGACUGACACUGACACUGAGGUGCGAAAGCGUGGGUAGCAAACAGGAUUAGAUACCCGUGUAGUC